AAGUCGUAACAAGGUUUCCGUAGGUGAACCUGCGGAAGGAUCAUUAAUGAAUAACUAUGGUAAUGGUUGUUGCUGGCUUUUUGGAGCAAGUGCACACCUGCCAUUCUUAUCUCCCCACCUGUGCACCUAGUGUAGGUCUGGAUACCUAUCGCUCUUGAGCGGAUACAGGGAUUGUCUUUAUGGGACUCUCCUUGAAUUUCCAGAUCUAUGUAUUUUACACACCCAAAUUGAAUGAUGUAGAAUGUAGUCAAUGGGCAAUCAAGCCUAUAAAUCACAAUACAACUUUCAGCAACGGAUCUCUUGGCUCUC
rnacentral:misc_RNA from 1 species